rnacentral:rRNA from 1 species
CUACGGGAGGCAGCAGUUAGGAAUAAUCUACAAUGCACGAAAGUGUGAUAGUUUGAGUCAAAGUGCGCUUCAAUUUGGAGUGCUUUUGUGGAAUGUAAAAAGUUCCACGAAUAAGGACUGGGUAAGACAGGUGCCAGCCGCCGCGGUAAUACCUGCGGUCCAAGUCGCAGCCAUUUUUAUUGGGUCUAAAACACCCGUAGCUUGCUUGGUAAGUUUCUUGUGAAAUUCUAUAUCUUAAAUAUAGAGCGGGCAGGAAGUACUGCCAAGCUAGAGACUGGGAGACGUAAGAAGUACGUUUGAAGUAGCGGUAAAAUGUGUUAAUCUCAAGCGGACUCACAACAGCGAAGGCAUCUUACGAGAACAGUUCUGACAGUAAGGGAUGAAGGCUAGGGGCGCAAAACGGAUUAGAUACCCGAGUAGUC